rnacentral:misc_RNA from 1 species
UAUAUACUAUAUACAAAUAUUGAAUUUUUGAUUGGUGAACUUUUGUAAAGUGUAGUAUGAGAGAACGUAAACGUGUUAACAAUAAACAGAAAUCUCGUCGACAAAACCAGCAGAAAUUGCAAGGAAUCGAUCUGAAUUGUUGCAAGCGACAACGUUGUAAUUAUGAACAUAUCUGGCAACACUUUCGACGCAAUGCCACACUCGAGGAAAUUCGACAGGCGGCUUCUCGCAUCUGCCGCGACUAUCUAACCGGAAGGUGGAAGGUGGCCACCCCGGAGCAGCUUGUGGUGAAGCGUAUCAGUGGCGGCCUCUCAAAUUUCCUAUAUUACGUAAGUCUGCCCGACUUGGAUGACUUUGAUGAACAGCAACUAUUGGAGGUGGAGCAACACCAGCUGCAGCAGCCGCAACCAAAUGUCAACAUUGGCAGACAUGUUAUAGCUGCCUCGACAUUCGCUAAGAAUAGCAACAGCUACAGCAGCACCAACAACAACAACAACAACAACAACGAGUCGCCCAAGUUGGCUAAUGAAUUGGCCCAAACGGUUGUCGGGGGCGUCGUUGCUGCUGGCGCCGCAGACGAUGAUGAUGAUGUGGCGCUGAGCGCCAAACAGGCAAACAAACGGCGACGCUUCGAUAGCGACAGCGGUGACUCAAGUCUGCUGAGGCGCCUGCACGCUCCCCCCAAGCAGGAACCGCGUGAGGUUCUCUUGCGCAUCUAUGGCCAGACACAUGGAGAUCACGCAUUGGAGAGCAUGAUUACCGAAUCCGUUGUCUUCGCCUUGCUCAGUGAGCGCAACUUUGGACCAAAGCUACACGGCAUCUUUCCCGGUGGACGCAUUGAGCAAUAUAUUUCGGCACGUUCCUUGGCCACAACAGAGAUGGGCGAUGCACGCAUCUCCAUGAAGAUCGCCGAGAAAAUGGGUGAAAUCCAUAGCCUGAAUAUACCGUUGUCCAAGAAACCGGACUGGAUAUGGAACUGCAUGGAUCGUUGGCUGGCCAGCUUGGAGAGCAUUGUGAAGGGCAAGAUUGAAUCGAGGCCCAGUUCGGCGGUGCUGCAAAAGCAGCGUGAACUAAUGCGCACCAUUGACUAUGUGCAGGAGAUGGCCUGGCUAAGAUCGUUGUUCGAUUCGGGUGACUAUCCGGUCGUCUUCUGCCACAACGAUCUGCAGGAAGGCAACAUCCUGUUGAGGCAAUCGAACAGUGGACAAGAACGUACACCCAGGGAAUCGAUAAGUAUAUUGAGAUCCAACUUUGAUGAGACACUGGGCGACAGCCUGGAUGGCAACAGCAACUUGGAUACGGAUGACAAAUGGCCUCUUGCUGCGGUCGUGAUUUGAGUAAAAUGUAUAAGGCUGGUUGUUAAAAUCGGCCCAAGCAAAUUACCAAAUACAUACAGUAAAUCGCACAGCGCCUCACCCUGUCCGGAAUUGGAUACCACAGAUGACUCCGCACUGGAC